rnacentral:rRNA from 1 species
AUUGAACGCUGGCGGCAGGCCUAACACAUGCAAGUCGAGCGGAUGAGUGAGCUUGCUCCAUGAUUCAGCGGCGGACGGGUGAGUAAUGCCUAGGAAUCUGCCUGGUAGUGGGGGACAACGUUUCGAAAGGAACGCUAAUACCGCAUACGUCCUACGGGAGAAAGCAGGGGACCUUCGGGCCUUGCGCUAUCAGAUGAGCCUAGGUCGGAUUAGCUAGUAGGUGAGGUAAUGGCUCACCUAGGCGACGAUCCGUGACUGGUCUGAGAGGAUGAUCAGUCACACUGGAACUGAGACACGGUCCAGACUCCUACGGGAGGCAGCAGUGGGGAAUAUUGGACAAUGGGCGAAAGCCUGAUCCAGCCAUGCCGCGUGUGUGAAGAAGGUCUUCGGAUUGUAAAGCACUUUAAGUUGGGAGGAAGGGCAGUAAGUUAAUACCUUGCUGUUUUGACGUUACCAACAGAAUAAGCACCGGCUAACUUCGUGCCAGCAGCCGCAGUAAGAC